GUAUUUACCAUGGGAACUGUUCCCAGGUUUGCUGAGCUGUCAGCACCAAGGUGACUUAAGAUUCCAGGAAGCAUUUCUGUGAUUGGUUUGGCUUCUGCAUGACCAGUAAUUGUGGAGGUAUUAGCAGACAAGGAAGCUUGGGAUUUUGGAUUGUUGAAAUGAAUAACUGUCCCAUCAUCUUUAACCAUGUUCACCUCUUCCAUACCAGCUAUGUUAUUCAUAGCCAGUUUUUUUAGAGAACUCUGAAGCUUUUUGUCAUCAGCUGUAGCUUCUUUCUGUAGGCUGUGCCCUUGCCCCAGACCUGAGCCUCAAGUCUGGCCAACUUUUCUUCAUCAUGCUGUUGGUCAAUCUUCUUCCACUCAGUCCUGAGACCUGGGCACACAGGACCCCGGGAAGGCAGAUCGGGCUCUAGAGCACUUCCCUUGAUUCUUUUCUAUAGGUCACAACUUUCUGUUGAAAUUCUCCUUCUUUCCAACAGGUAUUUUCCUUACACUUGCUUUUAUUUUAUUUAACACUGCUUGCAAUAGUCAUUUUAAAGGCUUUAUUUGCAAACCCCGAUGUCUGAAUCAUCUGAAGGGUCUGCUUCUAAUGUCUAUUUUUUUCUUUUGAUGACUGAUUAUAUUUUUCUGCCUCUUCAUGUCAAUAAAACAAAACAAAACUUUUGUGAACUUUGUACAAAUGAACUACGGAGACUGGAGAUGACAUUACUUUCCCCCAGAGCAUUUG
rnacentral:lncRNA from 1 species